rnacentral:rRNA from 1 species
AACGAACGCUGGCGGCAUGCCUAACACAUGCAAGUCGAACGAGACCUUCGGGUCUAGUGGCGCACGGGUGCGUAACGCGUGGGAACCUGCCCUUAGGUUCGGAAUAACUCCCCGAAAGGGGUGCUAAUACCGGCUAAUGUCUUCGGACCAAAGAUUUAUCGCCUUUGGAUGGGCCCGCGUUGGAUUAGCUAGUUGGUAGGGUAAAAGCCUACCAAGGCGACGAUCCAUAGCUGGUCUGAGAGGAUGAUCAGCCACACUGGGACUGAGACACGGCCCAGACUCCUACGGGAGGCAGCAGUGGGGAAUAUUGGACAAUGGGCGAAAGCCUGAUCCAGCAAUGCCGCGUGAGUGAUGAAGGCCUUAGGGUUGUAAAGCUCUUUUACCCGGGAUGAUAAGGACAGUACCGGGAGAAUAAGCUCCGGCUAACUCCG